rnacentral:rRNA from 1 species
GACGAACGCUGGCGGCGUGCCUAAUACAUGCAAGUAGGACGCAGUUGCGAACGGGUGAGUAACGCGUAGGUAACUGCCUAUUAGAGGGGGAUAACUAUUGGAAACGAUAGCUAAUACCGCAUACUAGUAGAUGGACCUGCGUUGUAUUAGCUAGUCAGUAGGGUAAUGGCCUACCUAGGCGAAGAUACAUAGCCGACGCGAGAGGGGGAGCGGCCAACAUGGGAAUGGGACAAGGGCCAGAACCCCACGGGAGGCAGCAGUAGGGAAUCCUCGGGAAUUGGGGGAAAGCUGACCGAGCAACGCCGCGGGAGGUAAGGAGGUUUUCGGAGCGGAAAGCUCUGUUGUUAAGGAAGCGGUACUUAACCAGAAAGGGACGGCUAACUACGUGCCAGCAGCCGCGGUAAUAC